CAUUGAAACACCAGUUCUCGUAUGUUUACUGAAGUUAAGCAACGUCGAGUCAGGUCAGUACCUAGAUGGGCGACCGCUUGAGAAUAUCAGGUGU